rnacentral:rRNA from 1 species
AACCAACAGGGAUUGCCUCAGUAACGGCGAGUGAAGCGGCAACAGCUCAAAUUUGAAAUCUGGCCUCCCGGGGUCCGAGUUGUAAUUUGUAGAGGAUGUUUUGGGUACCGCCCCGGUUUAAAUUUCUUGGAACAGAAUGUCAGAGAGGGUGAGAAUCCCGUCUUGGACCGGCGGUAGGGCCUGUGUAAAACUCCUUCGACGAGUCGAGUUGUUUGGGAAUGCAGCUCAAAAUGGGUGGUAAAUUUCAUCUAAAGCUAAAUAUUGGCCAGAGACCGAUAGCGCACAAGUAGAGUGAUCGAAAGAUGAAAAGAACUUUGAAAAGAGAGUUAAACAGUAUGUGAAAUUGUUGAAAGGGAAGCGCUUGCAACCAGACUUGAGCGCGACGGUUCCCCUAGCCUUUUGGCUAGGUUACUCCGUCGUGUCCAGGCCAACAUCGGUUCUGAGGGUCGGUCAAAGGCUCUGGGAAUGUAUCUACCCACGGGUAGACUUAUAGACCAGGGUGUCAUGCGACCUCUCGGGACCGAGGAACGCGCUUCGGCUCGGAUGUUGGCGUAAUGGUUGUCAGCGGCCCGUCUUUGAAACACGGACCAAG